rnacentral:rRNA from 1 species
UACGUAGGGUGCGAGCGUUGUCCGGAUUUAUUGGGCGUAAAGAGCUCGUAGGCGGUUUGUCGCGUCGGCCGUGAAAUCUCCACGCUUAACGUGGAGCGUGCGGUCGAUACGGGCAGACUUGAGUUCGGUAGGGGAGACUGGAAUUCCUGGUGUAGCGGUGAAAUGCGCAGAUAUCUGGAGGAACACCGGUGGCGAAGGCGGCAUCCUGGACCAACACUGACGCUGAGGAGCGAAAGCCAGGGGAGCAAACGGG